AAGCUCCACCAGGCCCACGGCGGACCCAAGGACCAGACUCUCACCGUCGAUGACUCCCCCAACCGCAUUAAGGAUCUUUUAGCCUUUUCCACCACCGCCUCCUCCUCCUCCUCUUCAAUCUCUGCAGCCUACGAAGACGACGAGGACCACAAAGCAUCGAAGCCUCACCGUCUUUCAUCACCGCCGUCCAUUGCACCGCACAAAUCCAUCCACGUCAUCCCCGUCCUCACCCUCCUCUGCUUCCUCAUCCUCUUCCUCUUCUCCCACGUCCCCUCCCAAUCAGAUUUGGCUCAGUUCAAUGGCUUCACUAAACUGCCUGGAUCGGCGAAGCGCGUAGUUUCUGCCGACAGCGAAAUCGACGGCAUCGGGCGAUUUAUUGACAUCCGGAAGAGCGAUGUUUUGGCGAUCCGCAGCCUGAGGAAUUUGCAGGACACCCAAACCCAAAAACUCGUCCCCAGAUCUCGCUCUCACCGAAAAAUCGCCGAUUUUUAAUCCGCAUUCCCUGGUACUCUUCUCUACUGUAAUCCCCACGCCUCUACUGUUCUCUACUAGCUAGCUCUUCGUCGGUGUUUACCUCGGAUGAACUCGCACGCGCGUCACCGUCAGCAUCUGUUCGCACGUGCGUCUUGCAGAGCAGAGGCUUUCUUUUUCUUUUAUUUCUUUUUUUUUAAUUUGUUUUUUUAAUUAUUUUGGUGUAAAAAUAUUACAUAAGCGCUUGAGUCGCUUAAUUAAUUUAUAGAAAGAUUUCGAAUA